rnacentral:lncRNA from 1 species
GGACAAGGUCUGCUCCUCCAGGCCGCAGCCCCAGCUGCCCACUGGGCGCAGGAGGCCGCCUGCCACUCCUCUCUUCCUUCCUUCCUUUCCCUCUUUCUUCCUUCCUUCCUUCUUUCUGCCGCCUCCUUGCAGCUCGGAGCCUGGCUCUGGAGGCAAACAUGAAAAGGGCACAGGCCCAUCCUUAGGGAGCUCCGAGGGACUCAGAGGGAAAGGCCCGUGGCCUAAGGAACACCUGUGCUAAGGUCCCACCAGCACGUCUGGUCACACUUGGUGUCUGAGGGCCUGGAUGUUUCUAGACCCUGGUCCCCAAGUGGCCUGGUCUCAGCAGCUCCCGGACCCAGCCCCCUGCCCCGUCCACCGGCAGCAGGGAGCCGGAGACAGCAGGGCCUCGCCGGGAGUCACAAGUGGCAGGCUCUGAGCAGCGGAGAGCUUCUCCAUCUGGAUGGCAGGCGACCCCAACUGCGGCUCGUCCUUGAAUCACGUCUUGUAAAAAAUCAUUUGCACAUUUGAAUUCAAAGCCCCUCAAAACAGUAUAAACACCACCAUUCCAAGUACCAUAAAAAC